rnacentral:ncRNA from 1 species
ACCAAAGCUACGACGGAGAGAAAGAUACAAUAUUUAUCUUAAGAGAGCUAAUGUAUGGUGCGAAUUAGCGAUAGUAUGUAUGUAAUAAUCACUCCCGAGCUUCUGUCCGAAAUGCAAAAAGUAGGUGCAGACGUGUGUCGACGUUAUACGACUAGAGUUCAGGCAUAGCCUCGACUUGACUAAGAUACAAUUUUUAAAUUGUAAAGUAGGGUGGUACCGCGAAUAUACUUUCGCCUCUACA